UAAAUGGCUUGCCAAUGUCACAAGGCUUCAAUGUGGAUAUGAUGGCUGGAGCUCCAGCAGCCAUCCUGUGACCCUGAGAACAAGCCAUUCAUUGAGGCUAAUGAAGCAGGAAGAAGGAAUCCUGAGUCCUUGGGAAACAAGGAUCUACCUGAAUAGCUCCGAAUGCCUACUUCUAGAUGUCCUUUUAGAAAGAGAAGCACACCCUUGUGUAUUUCAGCCACUGCUAUUUAAGGUUUAACCUAAUCAUGAUAUAAUUGGUUUUUCUUGGAAUGAUUCAGUGGUAAUUUUUUCUUCCAUAAGAAGCAAUCCCAACCCCUACCACUAGGGGGUGGCCUUGCCCUGUAGGCCUCAACAUGACAAUUACAUCACUGCAUAUCAGAGUCCAACAUCAGUGCAUUCUGUGUAAUUCAGUCUCAAAUAACAACGUGCAUGUGACAGCAGUGGUCCAGUCUGAGCUAAGCUGUGCCAAACUCCAUCCAGUUCCUUUAGCAUGAGAUUUGGAUCUCAUGCUUUUCUUCUCUUUUCUAUAUCCAAUUCUUCAGCUUGGACCCAAAAAAGCAAGCCCCAGGACCAAAAAAGUAUGCAGAGAAGCAGCUCUGACUCUAGCAAACACACAGUUUGUAUUUCCAAACAGAACAAUGAGCUUCUAGUCUGAACAACAUCCCAUUUGAUGGUAACUUGAUACUUUCCUCUUUUUGUUUUUCCAGCAAGAAGCAAUGGGCUGAAAACACAGUGAAAGCAGGCCGUGUCCAUUUUAUUUGCUGCUGAAUCCUCAUCAAUUAACACAAGGCCUGUCACACAGGAUGUGCUUAAUAAAUCCAGGAUUUAUAAAAAAGGAAGUAGAAGAAAGGGGAAUCUUUCCAUGCUGAGAAUCUUCAACAUGUGAGCACGUUGCUUGGAAGUCAGUUCCCAAAAAGGAAUCCAGAAUGUAUUGAUGGUGGCCUUUGGAAGAAGGGUCUAGACAACCCCAGUGGUAAUUUGCAAUGUCAUUAUUUGCAUUAUAUCUGUUAUCUUUCUGGGGUGGGGUUGGGGGAAUCUAUGAGGCAAUAUUUUCAGUUAUAUCUAAUAAAAUAGCUUUGCAAAUAUCUACUCAACCAGGAUGAUGAAUAUAUCCGAGUAAUUAGCCAGGAGAAUUCACCCCCUUUCCAUUCCAGGCACUCCUUGCAGGGAAUUCAUGGCUGUGGAAUAAUACAUGGGCAGAGCGGAGGCUCUGGAGUUAGACCCAGAAGGCCAGCUAUACCAUUUCCCAGCUCUGGGGCUCUGGCCAAGGUAACUUAACUGUCCAAAGCCUCAGUUUCCACUCAUUUGUGAAUGAGGAUAAAAUGGUACCCAUGGACAGGCAGUAGGGUGUAAUAGUUUAGAGCACAGACUGCCUAUGUUUGAAUCCUGGCUCCUCCACUUACCAGCUGCGCGACCUUGGGAAAGUUAUUUAACCGCCAUAUGCCUCAAUUUCUUCUUCUGUAGUCAUUUCUUCAAAAAUGAUUGUAUUAAAUUGAACUACUUUAAACUGCUAUUUUGUAGGUCAAAAACAGUCGAAUGUCAGUGAUUUCAAAUGAUUCAAACUAACACCUACCUUACAGGCUUAUAAAGAGAAGCAAGUGCAUGAGUCAAGUUUAAGUCAACAGGCUUAAAAUGAUGACUGUUACAUAUUAAGCACCGUAAAAGAGUCAGCUCUUAUUGCAUAGCUGAGUUUGUUGGGGAAUAAAAUGAAUAUGAUAAUGUGAUAAACACUUGGCAGAGGAGGAUUGUAAACAUUCAAUAAAAUGCUACUUGUUCUUUUUUGUACUUAUGUAACCCCUUCUUAAGAAUAUCUGACUUUAAAAUUACUAAUGUUUUCAAAUGGUUGUUUUUGCACUGCCCUCAAGUCCUCCAGCCCCUGAGCACAUAUAAACUUAUUACCAUGAAUUUCAGAAGGAGAGUGGGUGAAGCUAUGAAGAGAAGGGACAGCUCAGGACAAUGGACCUCGGAGAGAUAGAAGCCCAGGACAAGGG
rnacentral:lncRNA from 10 species